rnacentral:siRNA from 1 species
UUAAACCGUCAGAAUUCUUGCUGA